rnacentral:rRNA from 1 species
CGAAUGGAGCAAUCUGUAAAGAGUCAUGUCUUUACACGAAAGAGGGAACCGGGUGAACUGAAACAUCUAAGUAAUCCGAGGAAAAGAAAGUAACAACGAUACCCUAAGUAGCGGCGAGCGAACGGGGGAGAGCCUAAACCGUAUUCAUGUCAAGGAUGCAGCCGUUGUGGAUAUGGGGUAGCGGGAAAGAGAGAGAAAGAACUGCAAGCUAUU